rnacentral:rRNA from 1 species
ACCGUACUCCUACGGGAGGCAGCAGUGGGGAAUCUUGCACAAUGGGCGGAAGCCUGAUGCAGCGACGCCGCGUGAGGGAUGACGGCCUUCGGGUUGUAAACCUCUUUCGCUAGGGAAGAAGCCGCUUUGUGGUGGUGACGGUACCUGGAUAAGAAGCACCGGCUAACUACGUGCCAGCAGCCGCGGUAAUACGUAGGGUGCGAGCGUUGUCCGGAAUUACUGGGCGUAAAGAGCUCGUAGGUGGUUUGUCGCGUCGUCUGUGAAAUCCCGGGGCUUAACUUCGGGCGUGCAGGCGAUACGGGCAAACUGGAGUGCUGUAGGGGAGACUGGAAUUCCUGGUGUAGCGGUGGAAUGCGCAGAUAUUAGGAAGAACACCGAUGGCGAAGGCAGGUCUCUGGGCAGUAACUGACACUGAGGAGCGAGAGCAUGGGUAGCGAACAGGAUUAGAAACCCCUGUAGUCCUUGAC